rnacentral:rRNA from 1 species
AUUGAACGCUGGCGGCAGGCCUAACACAUGCAAGUCGAACGAGUGGCGGACGGGUGAGUAAGGUCUGGGAAACUGCCUGAUGGAGGGGGAUAACUACUGGAAACGGUAGCUAAUACCGCAUACCAUCGGAUGUGCCCAGAUGGGCUUAGCUAGUAGGUGGGGUAAAGGCUCACCUAGGCGACGAGCCCUAGCUGGUCUGAGAGGAUGACCAUCCACACUGGAACUGAGACACGGUCCAGACUCCUCCGGUCGGCAGCAGUGGGGAAGAGUGCAGAAUGGGCGCAAGCCUGAUGCAGCCAUGCCGCGUGUAUUAAGAAGGCCUUCGGGUUGUAAAGUACUUUCAGCGGGGAGGCGUUACCCGCAGAAGAAGCACCGGCUAACUCCGUGCCAGCAGCCGCGGUAAUUC